AUGCACGCCCCGCCGCCGUCCCGUAUGCCGCAGGCGCAGGCGAGGUUAGGCGUAGCCAGGCGUGGCAAGGCGAGGCUGGGGCGAGGCGAGUCGACGGGCGCGGCUGGGCAUGUGCGCCGGAGGAGCACGAGCCCACCACGGCGGAGCACCGACGCCAGAGGGGGACGAGCCCGCCUGUGCUCUCCUGCUGUGCGCGCGGGAGCGGGCACGGCCAGGAGCUGCUCCAGCUCUCGAGCCGGGUGGGCGGGCGGGUGGGAGAAGAAGGAGGAAAAGGAGGAGAAAGAUGGGAUGGGACAGAUGGGUGGAUGCGGGGUCGUGUUCAUCUCCGUAGGCCCAAUCUUCGAGGCCCCGAACGCGACGGUUCGAGUGGCGCACACUGAGUUCGACCCGAGCGAGCUCACCUACGACUGCGGCGACCUCGACGUGGCCGUGAAGAAGCUGACUCGGUCGGAGGCCGGCAACAACGCGUUCCUGGCGGUGUCGUCGUGCGGGCGGUGGGUGGUGUUCUGGUCGGGCCGGGAGGGCCACAAGAACCUCUACAUCGUCGAUGCAGCGCCCAGGGAGGAGAUGGUAUGGAGGGUCACGGGCGGCCAGUGGAUCGAAACGAUGCCGAGCUGGUCGCCGGACGAGAAGCUGAUCGCGCUCUCCUCCAACUGGCACGAAGCGGCCACCACCGCGGUGUUCAACAUCUACUAG
rnacentral:rRNA from 1 species